UCCGCUCCAACCCUUGGCCCGUCACCCCACACCGAGGGAGCCAUCUCUCUCUCUCUAGUCUGUCCCCUUUCCCGACUCCUCGUUUUGAUCGGGCAUGGAAGGGCGGAUCCAUGGUGGGCGUCGGCCGGAUCUGCAGGCCGUCGUUCCGGUGUGGCCAUCGCCCCUCCCCUUCCACUCUCUCUCUCCCCUCCGCCGCCGUUGCCAACUCCCCUCUUUCUCCUCUGCUUCCACCGUGCCUCCUCCUCCCCCACAACCGCGACGGCACCAUGGAUGCUAGAUCUGAUGUGGUGGCCUCGUCCACAGAGCGUGCGUGCGGAGGAGGCUCCUCCCCUUGUCGGAGUUGGAUCAACGUCAGAUGGCAAGGGGAAGCAGCCAAAGGUGAUUUGGCCGCACUUCAGCUGCCCCCAGUCGCCAACCCUAACAAGAUGAGUUCCCAAGUCAAUCCGCGUUGGUCAGCUGAUGAACUCGACGAAUGGUUCAGAACUGUGUGGCGGCGGCAGCGGCUGUGGCGGUUUCUCAGCUGCCUCAAUGAUGAGGGCUCCCCCCACCGGGCAAUACGACAAGUGCUACAGCUUCAUCACACCCUACUCAGAUAAGUAAUGCUCAAGGUGUUGUAAACAAAGCCAAAUGCUAUUGCUUGACAUUUGCAUUAUCGUUACUACGAAAAGUACUGUUUAACACUAGAGAUGUGACUUUUAUUCCUAACACUGCUGAUUGGUGCUCUAGUUUAUUGAUUACUGCAUAUGUUCAGUUUCCUAGUGAAAAUACAUAAGUAAUUGUAUGCUGAAGUAGUGUUCUACAAGCACCCAUAGUGCUCUGCUCUGCAAUAUUUGUUUGGGAGCAACAAAAGGCUCAACAGCUUUCGACUGGCAUGAAACUUUGCUUCAUGCCAUACAUAAAAACUUUGCUUCAUGCACCUAGACAGACAAGACUCAAACAAAUAGUUUUAAGCCAUAGGAAUGACUUGCUUCAUGUACCAACUUCUAUCUUCAAUUCUUCAUGUACAAUGGCAACUUGCACGUGAAGGUGUAUCUUUGUGCUUUUUAAAUGCCUGUUGAAGUAAGUAGAAGUUUCCUCUCUAGUUACUUUCCAAAUAGUUACUAAUUAAUUAUUGUUUUGAUAUAUGCUAGCUGAUUUAUUGGACCAUAUAUGGUUUUGCAGGAUUCAAGAACAGCCUAUAUAUACUCAAAUGUAGUUACAACUUAUGUACUGUAAGAAAUCUUCAAUGUUGCUGCUCAGCAUGUAUUAGUAGCAAUCUUCUAGGCUUGUAGCUCCUUGAGCACAGAUGAUUUGUAACUUAAUUUGUAUCUGAAGAUUGUAAAGAAUUGAUUGCUGAAAUGGAUGAAACAUGUGUAAUGCAUAAAGGACCAUGGUAGGAAUUUAUUUUCUU